UGAGGUAGUGACUCAAAAGGUU
rnacentral:miRNA from 1 species